UACAGAGGGGGCAAGCGUUGCUCGGAAUUACUGGGCGUAAAGGGCGCGUAGGCGGCGUGGCAAGUCGGUCGUGAAAUCUCGGGGCUUAACUCCGAAACUGCAUUCGAUACUGCGGUGCUUGAGGACUGGAGAGGAGACUGGAAUUUACGGUGUAGCGGUGAAAUGCGUAGAUAUCGUAAGGAAGACCAGUGGCGAAGGCGGGUCUCUGGACAGUUCCUGACGCUGAGGCACGAAGGUCAGGGGAGCAAACGGG
rnacentral:rRNA from 1 species